AGAGUUUGAUCCUGGCUCAGGAUGAACGCUGGCGGCGUGCCUAACACAUGCAAGUCGAACGGGCGCGGCGUGCGGCAGGGGCCUCGGCCCCUGCGGCGCCGCGCGAGUGGCGGACGGGUGAGUAACGCGUGGGCAACCUGCCCUGUACUGGGGGAUAACACCUGGAAAUAGGUGCUAAUACCGCAUAAGCGCGGCGUGCCGCAUGGCAUGGCGCGGAAAACCCCGGUGGUACAGGAUGGGCCCGCGUCUGAUUAGCUGGUUGGCAGGGUAACGGCCUACCAAGGCGACGAUCAGUAGCCGGCCUGAGAGGGUGGACGGCCACACUGGGACUGAGACACGGCCCAGACUCCUACGGGAGGCAGCAGUGGGGGAUAUUGCACAAUGGGGGAAACCCUGAUGCAGCGACGCCGCGUGAGUGAAGAAGUAUUUCGGUACGUAAAGCUCUAUCAGCAGGGAAGAAAAAAAGUCCACAGGACUUUGGACGGUACCUGACUAAGAAGCCCCGGCUAACUACGUGCCAGCAGCCGCGGUAAUACGUAGGGGGCAAGCGUUAUCCGGAUUUACUGGGUGUAAAGGGAGCGUAGACGGCUGUGCAAGUCUGAAGUGAAAUGCCGGGGCCCAACCCCGGAACUGCUUUGGAAACUGUACGGCUAGAGUGAAGGAGGGGUGAGCGGAAUUCCUAGUGUAGCGGUGAAAUGCGUAGAUAUUAGGAGGAACACCGGUGGCGAAGGCGGCUCACUGGACUGUAACUGACGUUGAGGCUCGAAAGCGUGGGGAGCAAACAGGAUUAGAU
rnacentral:rRNA from 1 species